GUGGGGAAUAUUGGACAAUGGGCGCAAGCCUGAUCCAGCAAUGCCGCGUGGGUGAAGAAGGUCUUCGGAUUGUAAAGCCCUUUCGACGGGGACGAUGAUGACGGUACCCGUAGAAGAAGCCCCGGCUAACUUCGUGCCAGCAGCCGCGGUAAUACGAAGGGGGCUAGCGUUGCUCGGAAUGACUGGGCGUAAAGGGCGCGUAGGCGGAUGACACAGUCAGGCGUGAAAUUCCUGGGCUCAACCUGGGGGCUGCGUUUGAUACAUGUUGUCUGGAGUUCGGAAGAGGGUCGUGGAAUUCCCAGUGUAGAGGUGAAAUUCGUAGAUAUUGGGAAGAACACCGGUGGCGAAGGCGGCGACCUGGUCCGAUACUGACGCUGAGGCGCGAAAGCGUGGGGAGCAAACAGGAUUAGAAACCCCUGUAGUCC
rnacentral:rRNA from 1 species